GUCGUUUCAGGUUGUUUAUGGUCGUUUCAGGUUGUUUAUGGUCGUUUUAGGUUGUUUAUGGUCGUUUUAGGUUGUUUAUGGUCGUUUUAGGUUGUUUAUGGUCGUUUCAGGUUGUUUAUGGUCGUUUUAGGUUGUUUAUGGUCGUUUUAGGUUGUUUAUGGUCGUUUCAGGUUGUUUAUGGUCGUUUCAGGUUGUUUAUGGUCGUUUCAGGUUGUUUAUGGUCGUUUCAGGUUGUUUAUGGUCGUUUCAGGUUGUUUAUGGUCGUUUUAGGUUGUUUUUGGUCGUUUAAGUUGUUUUUAGGUCCUUUUAUUUAUUUUGAAGUUGUUUUGUUUGUCGUAUUGUUUAAAGUCGUAAAUGGUCGUAAGUGAAUGUAUUUAGGUCGUAUAAGCGGUUCAUAGGGGUCGUUCUUGGUUGAUCUGAGGUCGCACUUGUCGUAUUUGGUCUCCCUCGGGGUCGUGUUUGGUCUCUUUGGGGUCGUAUUGGUCUCCCUUGGGUCGUAUUAGUCUCUCUGGGGUCGUGUCAGGUCUCUCUGGGGUCG